rnacentral:rRNA from 1 species
GUGUCAGCCGCCGCGGUAAUACGUAGGUGGCAAGCGUUGUCCGGAAUUAUUGGGCGUAAAGCGCGCGCAGGCGGUUCUUUAAGUCUGAUGUGAAAGCCCACGGCUCAACCGUGGAGGGUCAUUGGAAACUGGAGAACUUGAGUACAGAAGAGGAAAGCGGAAUUCCACGUGUAGCGGUGAAAUGCGUAGAGAUGUGGAGGAACACCAGUGGCGAAGGCGGCUUUCUGGUCUGUAACUGACGCUGAGGCGCGAAAGCGUGGGGAGCAAACAGGAUUAGAUACCCGGGUAGUCC